rnacentral:rRNA from 1 species
GCGUGUGUGAAGAAGGUUUUCGGAUUGUAAAGCACUUUCGGUGGGGACGAUGAUGACGGUACCCGCAGAAGAAGCCCCGGCUAACUUCGUGCCAGCAGCCGCGGUAAUACGAAGGGGGCUAGCGUUGCUCGGAAUGACUGGGCGUAAAGGGCGCGUAGGCGGAUUGUACAGUCAGACGUGAAAUUCCUGGGCUCAACCUGGGGACUGCGUUUGAGACGUAUGAUCUUGAGUGAGGAAGAGGGUUGUGGAAUUCCCAGUGUAGAGGUGAAAUUCGU